rnacentral:rRNA from 1 species
GCCUGCCCAAUGACUAAUUAAAUGGCCGCGGUAUCCUAACCGUGCAAAGGUAGCAUAAUUACUUGUUUACUAAAUAUAGACUUGUAUGAACGGCACCACGAGGGCUACACUGUCUCCCCUAUUUAAUCAGUAAAACUGAUCUCCCCGUGAAGAAGCGAGGAUUAAAUUAUAAGACGAGAAGACCCCAUGGAGCUUUAAACUAAGAACCAACUGCCCAACCCCAUACCACCAUAUAACGCAGCCAUGACUCAAAGUUUUCGGUUGGGGCGACCACGGAGCACAAUAAAACCUCCACGAUGAAUGAAUUAAAAAUUCUCACCCAAGAGCCACACCACAAAGGACCACUAAUGUGAUAUCCAUUGACCCAAACACUUGAUCAACGAACCUAGUUACCCUGGGGAUAACAGCGCAAUCCAUUUCAAGAGCUCAUAUCGACAAAUGGGUUUACGACCUCGAUGUUGGAUCAGGGUAUCCCAGUGGUGCAACCGCUACCAAAGGUUCGUUUGUUCAACGAUUAAAACCCUACGUGAUCUGAGUUCAGACCGGA